CGCGGCCUAUCAGCUUGUUGGUGGGGUAACGGCCUACCAAGGCAGCGACGGGUAGCUGGUUUGAGAGAACGAUCAGCCACACUGGGACUGAGACACGGCCCAGGCUCCUACGGGAGGCAGCAGUAGGGAAUCUUGCGCAAUGGGCGAAAGCCUGACGCAGCAACGCCGCGUGCGGGAUGACGGCCUUCGUGGUUGUAAACCGCUUUCAGCAGGGACGAAAUUGACGGUACCUGCAGAAGAAGCCCCGGCUAACUACGUGCCAGCAGCCGCGGUAAUACGUAGGGGGCGAGCGUUGUCCGGAAUCAUUGGGCGUAAAGAGCUCGUAGGCGGUUCAGUAAGUCGGGUGUGAAAGCUCCGAGCUCGACUCGGAGAGGCCACUCGAUACUGCUGUGACUAGAAUCCAGUAGGGGAGUGUGGAACUCCUGGUGUAGCGGUGAAAUGCGCAGAUAUCAGGAAGAACACCAGCGGCGAAGGCGGCACUCUGGGCUGGUAUUGACGCUGAGGAGCGAAAGUGUGGGUAGCAAACAGGAUUAGAUACCCUGGUAGUCCACACCGUAAACGUUGGGCACUAGGUGUGGGGAGGAUCAACCCUUUCCGUGCCGUAGCUAACGCAUUAAGUGCCCCGCCUGGGGAGUACGG
rnacentral:rRNA from 1 species